rnacentral:rRNA from 1 species
UACGAAGGGGGCUAGCGUUGUUCGGAUUUACUGGGCGUAAAGCGCGCGCAGGCGGCAUGGUAAGUAAGGUGUGAAAUCUCACUGCUCAACGGUGAGGGUGCAUUUUAGACUGCCAAGCUAGAGGACGGUAGAGGGGGGUAGAAUUGCUGGUGUAGCGGUGAAAUGCGUAGAGAUCAGCAGGAAUACCCGUGGCGAAGGCGGCCCCCUGGGCCGAACCUGACGCUGAGGCGCGAAAGCUAGGGGAGCGAACGGG